AAUCAACGCUGGCGGCGUGCCUCAGACAUGCAAGUCGAACGCGAAAGUCCCCUUCGGGGGACAAGUAGAGUGGCGCACGGGUGAGUAACACGUAGGUAAUCUACCUUCGGAUGGGGAAUAACAACCGGAAACGGUUGCUAAUACCGCAUAAUGCAGCGGCACCUAAUGGUGACAGUUGUUAAAGCGGGGGAUCGUAAGACCUCGCGUCUGAAGAGGAGCCUGCGGCGGAUUAGCUAGUGGUAAGGUAAUGGCUUACCAAGGCUACGAUCCGUAACCGGCCUGAGA
rnacentral:rRNA from 1 species